GAUGAACGCUGGCGGCGUGCCUAAUACAUGCAAGUCGAGCGAACGGACGAGAAGCUUGCUUCUCUGAUGUUAGCGGCGGACGGGUGAGUAACACGUGGAUAACCUACCUAUAAGACUGGGAUAACUUCGGGAAACCGGAGCUAAUACCGGAUAAUAUUUUGAACCGCAUGGUUCAAAAGUGAAAGACGGUCUUGCUGUCACUUAUAGAUGGAUCCGCGCUGCAUUAGCUAGUUGGUAAGUUAACGGCUUACCAAGGCAACGAUGCAUAGCCGACCUGAGAGGGUGAUCGGCCACACUGGAACUGAGACACGGUCCAGACUCCUACGGGAGGCAGCAGUAGGGAAUCUUCCGCAAUGGGCGAAAGCCUGACGGAGCAACGCCGCGUGAGUGAUGAAGGUCUUCGGAUCGUAAAACUCUGUUAUUAGGGAAGAACAUAUGUGUAAGUAAAUGUGCACAUCUUGACGGUACCUAAUCAGAAAGCCACGGCUAACUACGUG
rnacentral:rRNA from 1 species